rfam:Pteropus alecto contig36168, whole genome shotgun sequence.
UGGCCGAUUUUGGCACUAGCACAUUUUUGCUUGUGUCUCUUCGCUCUGAGCAAUCAUGUGCAGUGCCAAUAUGGGAAA